rnacentral:rRNA from 1 species
CCUACGGGAGGCAGCAGUGGGGAAUAUUGCACAAUGGGGGAAACCCUGAUGCAGCGACGCCGCGUGAGUGAAGAAGUAAUUCGUUAUGUAAAGCUCUAUCAGCAGGGAAGAAAAUGACGGUACCUGAGUAAGAAGCCCCGGCUAACUACGUGCCAGCAGCCGCGGUAAUACGGAGGGGGCAACCGUGAUCCGGAUUUACUGGGUGUAAAGGGAGCGUAGACGGCAGGGCAAGUCUGGAGUGAAAGGGGGGGGCUCAACCCCCGGACUGCUCUGGAAACUGUACGGCUGGAGUGCAGGAGAGGUAAGUGGAAUUCCUAGGGUAGCGGUGAAAUGCGUAGAUAUUAGGAGGAACACCAGUGGCGAAGGCGGCUUACUGGACUGUAACUGACGUUGAGGCUCGAAAGCGUGGGGAGCAAACAGGAUUAGAUACCCCUGUAGUC